rnacentral:rRNA from 1 species
UCACGUGACCACCUGUACUGAUUGUGACACUAACGUGUCACAGUCUGCGAAGAAAUACUCGAGUAGAUACCGCUGCUACUCUGCGCGGUCAGUUCAUGUCAACUAACCCGUUAAAAUCCUUGAGAUUUUAGAGGCGCAGCUAACGCAUUUAGUUGACCCGCCUGGGGAGUACGGCCGCAAGGUUAAAACUCAAUGAAUUUGACGGGGGCCCGCACAAGCGGUGGAGCA